AGCGAUCUCGGGAUAAGGUCAAUGUCUCCGGUUGGACAAAAUCUGGGCAUCCCUUGGUGUGCUUUCAGGAAGCGCUGAAUACAAAAACCAAGGUGUGAUUUUCAGGUUUCUAUUGGAGACCCAUGUGCAACAUCAGUUUUCUUUGCAAUAGGAAGGAGAGAGAGAAUGCACAGAGAGGACUGAGGAAACUAACAGGCUGGUGACGACAGCAACAAAACACAAAUAAAAAGGAUUAUGCAACGGACGAUCUUAAGAUGAUGAAAAGGCAGGACUAGGUACUGGUCAAACCAGGAGAGAGUGAGGACUACAGAUGUUGG